UACGAAGGGUGCUAGCGUUGCUCGGAAUUACUGGGCGUAAAGCGCACGUAGGCGGGUUCUUAAGUCGGUGGUGAAAUCCUGGAGCUCAACUCCAGAACUGCCUUCGAAACUGGGAAUCUUGAGUCCGGGAGAGGUGAGUGGAACUGCGAGUGUAGAGGUGAAAUUCGUAGAUAUUCGCAAGAACACCAGUGGCGAAGGCGGCUCACUGGCCCGGUACUGACGCUGAGGUGCGAAAGCGUGGGGAGCAAACAGG
rnacentral:rRNA from 1 species